ACGCUGGGAAAUAACUUCAUCACUUAUAUAUCUUCUCAUCAGUCAUUCGCUUUAUACCCUAAGUGAGUUUUCGAGCACAUUCCCGUCAACUUGACGGAUUAGCCUCGCGUUAUGACGUUUUGGGAAUUGAGCACUGUGCUAUGUAGCUUUCGCAGCAGUUGACAGCGAUGUGUAACAAAAUUUAACUCCUUUUCUUUAUCGCAAUAUUAAUUUAGAGGUGAGCAUCUUGUAAAAAAUUUCUACGUUACUUCCAUGAAGAUUUGAGUACAUCUUUGACAACGAAUACACCGAUGAUGGAUGAGCGCGCUAGACUUCGGAGAAUUACGGACAACUUGAACGACCGGGUCCAUUCCGUGGUUGCGGACGAUCACAGGAACGUACUAACGGAACGCGCUGACGAGGGGUCGAGCGUCUCGUACUGACGUGGCAUAAAAUUCCGACGAUAUCCGCCCUCCCCGGGGUAAUCUCCACGACAGGCGCACGCUGCACAUGAUCACGCCCUGCAUCCGGCAUCCCCGCGUGAAGGGAGAAGUGGUUAGUAAGUAAGUACAGGGGACUUACACCCUUCAAGAUCAAGAGAGAGAUAACCGGCUUACACCCCCUAAAGCCGGGUUAAUUAAAGGCCAUUCCACUAAAAUCGUGAUCUCCGGAAUGACGGCGACUGCGAAAUCGCCGAUCGUAUCGUGUGGACCCGGCGUACCACCUAUCUUGUGAAAAAUCAAUCAGCUUAUGCAAGAAACAAAAAAUCUUUCGAAUAUAUUACUGAAAAUGGAAAACAAUUUAGAUGUGCGAUUAAAUCUCUUUAAAAUUGAGAAGAAAACUCUAUUGUUACAUUAAAAGAAAUUAAUAUAGUACUUGUAUGAUCGCAUUUUUUUUUUUAGCGGAUAAUUUCGAAGAAAUGACUGCAUAGUUGAACAUAUAUCUAUCGAAAAAUUAAUCGAACGACGGAACAUACUUUCCCGUUUCGCGAUUGCGUUCACUCUUUGUCCUCGACUUCUCAUUUCGUAUAAGCUUUUUCACCGGGGCAAAAGCCGAAUUAUCUCACGUUUAAUUAUUCUCUCAACCGCGCUCAGUCGCCAACACGACUCGCGAAUACACGCGCAAACACGCACUUUGGCGAAUGCCACCGGGCUAUACACAUACACGGCACGGUCGUGUUUGUAGGCCAUUGUCGAAGGGCCCCGUUCUCGGUUUAAUUGCGGAAACACGUGACCGCCACGUUAAAAAAGUGCCAGAGGGAAUCGUUUCUCCUCUCCCUUUCGUUCUCCGUUUGAUACCGUUCGUAUAUAUAUAUAACUAACCAUUGUAUUAUCGCGCACUGUGGUCAACCGGAUCAACUUUUCUGUUUGAACUUCAAUUUUAAUUUAAUAAGUGAAAUAGUGUCAUGUAGCACAUACACAAAAAUAUAACCAAAUAACGAUAUGAGAAUGCUGAAAUUAUCUUUAAAUGAGAAGAGAUUCUCUUAAGAGAUUGUUUAUAAUGAGGAAGAAAGAAAGAGAGCUAAUUUUAUUAGAAAUCAAUGAAAUGUAAUAGAAGACAUUUAAAAAGCGUUAAAAAAUAUAGAUUGCUGUAAAAAAUAUAGAUUGGAUGUAAAACUAUUGUUUAAUCAAUUUUAUUCGACCAAUAUAUACUCUAAUUAUCCCUAAAAAUGUAUCUCUACUUAUAUAUCAUUCUAAAAUUUCUCAUAAAAUAAUUCCGUACUGAUUGCCUGUAACGAUCAUGCACCACCGGUUUACGAGUCAUUUAGUGAGGUGAAUUUAAAUUUCGCUAAAGUAUACCCUCCGUUUUACGAUACGCUCUGUCAAACACCUCCUGCAUGUCCCUCCCCCUUAUCCCUCGCUUCCGGUAUUCUGUCCUUUCACUCUCGUUAUUUCACGCGUAUGUAGUACACGCUCGUGUAAACAAAGCGGUCGAGAAAAAGCGAGGGAACGAUAAAUGGAACGGGAAUGCAUACCGAGAUGGCCGAUGAGGAGACAUUGAGUGAAAACGUACGGGAAGGGUGGUUUGAUGAGAAAAAAAAAUUAUUAUCCAUUCGAAUCGUGAUCGACCGUGAGUCGGAGCGUUGCGGUGCACGGUGUCCCAGAAAAAUCUGUCCUUUCCGUCGUCUUCGUUCUCUCGACUUUCGACUCGCAU